AGGCGAUGAAGGACGUACUAGACUGCGAUAAGCUAUGGGGAGCUGUCAAGAAGCUUUGAGCCAUAGAUUUCCGAAUGGGGCAACCCAAUAUGUAGCAAUACAUAUUACCUUAAAUGGAGCGAACCUAGUGAAGUGAAACAUCUCAGUAACUAGAGGAAAAGAAAUCAAACGAGAUUCUCUUAGUAGCGGCGAGCGAACGGGGAAGAGGGCAAACCCAAUGCUUGCAUUGGGGGUUGAGGACUGCAACAUCCACUGGAAUACUCUAAUAGAACAUUUUGGAAAGAAUAGCCAUAGAGGGUGAUAGCCCCGUAUAUGAAAGAGUAUUUCUAGGUAGCAGGAUCCAGAGUAGGUCAGGGCACGUGAAACCCGGACUGAAGCAGGGGAGACCACUCUCCAACCCUAAAUACUACUACUACACCGAUAGCGAACCAGUACCGUGAGGGAAAAGUGAAAAGAACCGCAGUGAGCGGAGUGAAAUAGAACCUGAAACCAUUUGCCUACAAUCAUUCAGAGCCCUAUUGUGAGUCUCAUUAAGAAAUUAGAGAGGCUUGUCUUUUGAGCUAAAAAUGUGUGAGUUCGCUUUUUGCUUGUGCGACAGCCUUAAGGCUAGUCUCCGCGCAAAAAACUUCACAACACACAUUUCUCAUCUAAAAUACUGCGCCAUUGGGUGUUUCUUUUUAUAAAACAACAAUAGAGAGAAUCUUAAUCUUUAAGAUUCCAUUGGAGUUGAAUCUCUUAAACUAAGAACAACCAGAAAUUCUAGCAUUGUGGAUAAGAUUUGUGGGUUGUGUAGUAAAAACUGCGGAGACUAGCCUUAAGGCUGUCGCACAAAGUUUUUACAAACUCCCACAAAGAUUACCACAAGGCGAAUUUAGUUUAAUUUUUUAGUGAGGCUCACAAGGGUGAUGGACUGCCUUUUGCAUAAUGAUCCUGCGAGUUGUGGAAUCGGGCAAGGUUAAACUAAUGUGAAGCCGUAGCGAAAGCGAGUCUGAAAGGGCGAUUGAGUCAGAUGCUGCAGACCCGAAGCUGAGUGAUCUAUCCAUGGCCAAGUUGAAAGUGGGGUAACACCCACCGGAGGACUGAACUCGUACCCAUUGAAACGGGUUGGGAUGAGCUGUGGAUAGGGGUGAAAGGCCAAUCAAACUCAGUGAUAGCUGGUUCUCUUCGAAAUAUAUUUAGGUAUAGCCUCAAGUGAUAGUAAUAGGGGGUAGAGCUCUGAUUGGGCUAGGGCUGCUCACCGCGGUACCAACCCCUGUCAAACUACGAAUACCUAUUACCGUAUCUUGGGAGUCAGGCGGUGGGUGAUAAAAUCAAUCGUCUAAAGGGGAACAACCCAGACUACCAACUAAGGUCCCAAAGUUCUAUUCUAAGUGGAAAAAGAUGUGGAGUUACUCAGACAACCAGGAGGUUGGCUUAGAAGCAGCCAUCCUUUAAAGAUAGCGUAACAGCUCACUGGUCUAGUGAUUCUGCGCUGAAAAUAUAACGGGGCUAAGAUAGACACCGAAGUUGUAGAUUGUGCUGAUGCACAGUGGUAGAAGAGCGUUCUAUACAGCAUUGAAGCCAUACCGGUAAGGAGUGGUGGAGUGUAUAGAAGUGAGCAUGCAGGAAUGAGUAGCGAUAAAAGUGGUGGGAAUCCACUUCGCCGAAAAUCUAAGGUUUCCUACGCUAUGCUCGUCAUCGUAGGGUUAGUCGGGUCCUAAGACAAGUCCGAAAGGGGUAGUCGAUGGAAAAUUGGUUAAUAUUCCAAUACCAAUAUUAGUGUGCGAUGUGGGGACGCAUAGGGUCAAGACAAGCUGACGGAUAGAAGUGUCAGUCGAAGGGUGCAAGUUAGGAGAUUGGUAAAUCCGCUCCCGUAUCCCAAACCCAACAGGCGUAUCAAAACCUUCGGGUAGCGAUAUGAAUUGUUAAGAUCGUCGUGCCAAGAAAAGCCUCUAAGUUUAGCUAAUAUUGCCCGUACCGCAAACCGACACAGGUAGAUGAGAUGAGUAUUCUAAGGCGCGUGAAAGAACUCUCUUUAAGGAACUCUGCAAACUAACACCGUAAGUUCGCGAUAAGGUGUGCCAUAGCAAUAUGGUCUCAGCAAAGAGUCCCUCCCGACUGUUUACCAAAAACACAGCACUUUGCCAACUCGUAAGAGGAAGUAUAAGGUGUGACGCCUGCCCGGUGUUCGAAGGUUAAGAGGAUUAGUCAGUCGCAAGAUAAAGCUAUGAAUUGAAGCCCGAAUAAACGGCGGCCGUAACUAUAACGGUCCUAAGGUAGCGAAAUUCCUUGUCGGUUAAAUACCGACCUGCAUGAAUGGCGUAACGAGAUGGGAGCUGUCUCAAAGAGUGAUUCAGUGAAAUUGUAGUGGAGGUGAAAAUUCCUCCUACCCGCGGCAAGACGGAAAGACCCCGUGGACCUUUACUACAGCUUGGCACUGCCGAUGGGAGCAUUAUGCGCAGCAUAGGUGGGAGGCUUUGAAAUCUUUACUCCGGUAGAGAUGGAGCCACCGUUGAGAUACCACCCUUAAUGUUUCUGUCUGCUAACUAGCUAGAGUUAUCCUCUAGUAGGACAAUGCCUGGUGGGUAGUUUGACUGGGGCGGUCGCCUCCUAAAAAGUAACGGAGGCUUGCAAAGGUUGGCUCAAAAUGGUUGGAAAUCAUUUGUAGAGUAUAAUGGCAUAAGCCAGCCUGACUGUAAGACAAACAAGUCAAGCAGAGACGAAAGUCGGUCAUAGUGAUCCGGUGAUUCUGUGUGGAAGGGUCAUCGCUCAAAGGAUAAAAGGUACCCCGGGGAUAACAGGCUGAUCUCCCCCAAGAGCUCACAUCGACGGGGAGGUUUGGCACCUCGAUGUCGGCUCAUCGCAUCCUGGGGCUGGAGCAGGUCCCAAGGGUAUGGCUGUUCGCCAUUUAAAGCGGUACGCGAGCUGGGUUCAGAACGUCGUGAGACAGUUCGGUCCCUAUCUGCCGUGGGCGUAGGAAAGUUGAGGAGAUCUGUCCCUAGUACGAGAGGACCGGGAUGGACAUACCACUGGUGUAGCUGUUGUUCUGCUAUGGGCAUCGCAGCGUAGCUACGUAUGGAUGUGAUAAACGCUGAARGCAUCUAAG
rnacentral:rRNA from 1 species